UUAAUGCCACAUUAGCCUUAACCUCACCACUGCCCUACCAUAUAGUCUUUUAGCCAAAUAAUGUAUUUUCUACCAUCUACCUAGACUGCAAGAGAUAUCGUAAUGCAUAUGACAUAUGACGUUAAAUUCACGUGAAAUGUUUCCGCGGGCAAGUUUUUUCAAUUCUCACUAAAAACAUCAAACUGUUAAUAUUUCAAUACUUUAAUAAAACAUUCAUAGAAAUAAUUUUCAUAUCUCAAGUUUCGGAAACGUGCUCAGUCUUGAAUAUUUGAUUACAAUAAUAUCUAGAUUACGCCUCGAUGAUUCAGGCGGCGGUGGUCUUGUGAGAUCUAUAGGCCCCGGUAACCACUUAACUCGAAAUAGACCAUAGCACGUUUGCCUAUCUUUAUCAAAAAACAUAAACGUACAAUAUUAAAAUAAAUCGUUAUCUCACAUAAUAUGAAUUUAAAUAGUAAAGUUCCGUGUCCUUAAGAUAUACUAAGGAAAGGUAAAUAAACAUCGGGACUACAUCUGCGGACAAGUUCAUAAUUGUCCACCUCUGACACAGACUAAACAUGUGCACGUAUAUGGAUCACCGGCCGCAGGAGAAGUUCAAGGGCCCCAGAUCAAUUGAUGAAGAGCCUUCGAUAACCUCGGAACGUGUCGCGCUUCUGGGAGCAACCUCUCAUCUAUUCACAACAUAAAAUUUUAUCAGGUUCCCCUUUCUAUUCUCCGCAGAACGAUACUUACAAAUAAAAAAUUUAAAUAUUCAAUGAUAAAGAUAAAGAAAAUAUUUUUCCUAAGGCUUGUAGCUUGCAUAUCUCUGCAAUGAAAUGAAACAACUUUUUUGUAAUAUGAUCUUACUCCGUCUUUGUUUAAUUGCAAUUAAAAAAAUUGUCAUUUCUUA